rnacentral:rRNA from 1 species
UUAAGCGACUAAGCGUACACGGUGGAUGCCCUGGCAGUCAGAGGCGAUGAAGGACGUGCUAAUCUGCGAAAAGCGUCGGCGAGGUGAUAUGAACCUUUGACCCGGCGAUGUCCGAAUGGGGAAACCCAGUGCAACUCGUUGCACUAUCGUUAACUGAAUACAUAGGUUAACGAGGCGAACCGGGGGAACUGAAACAUCUAAGUACCCCGAGGAAAAGAAAUCAACCGAGAUUCCCCCAGUAGCGGCGAGCGAACGGGGAGCAGCCCAGAACCUGAAUCAGCUUGUGCAUUAAUGGAACGGUCUGGAAAGUCCGGCGAUACAGGGUGAUAGCCCCGUACAUGAAAGUGCACAGGCUGUGAGUUCGAUGAGUAGGGCGGGACACGUGGUAUCCUGUCUGAAUAUGGGGGGACCAUCCUCCAAGGCUAAAUACUCCUGACUGACCGAUAGUGAACCAGUACCGUGAGGGAAAGGCGAAAAGAACCCCGGCGAGGGGAGUGAAAAAGAACCUGAAACCGUGUACGUACAAGCAGUGGGAGCACCUUCGUGGUGUGACUGCGUACCUUUUGUAUAAUGGGUCAGCGACUUAUAUUCUGUAGCAAGGUUAACCGUAUAGGGGAGCCGAAGGGAAACCGAGUCUUAACUGGGCGUUAAGUUGCAGGGUAUAGACCCGAAACCCGGUGAUCUAGCCAUGGGCAGGUUGAAGGUUGGGUAACACUAACUGGAGGACCGAACCGACUAAUGUUGAAAAAUUAGCGGAUGACUUGUGGCUGGGGGUGAAAGGCCAAUCAAACCGGGAGAUAGCUGGUUCUCCCCGAAAGCUAUUUAGGUAGCGCCUCGUGAACUCAUCUUCGGGGGUAGAGCACUGUUUCGGCUAGGGGGUCAUCCCGACUUACCAACCCGAUGCAAACUACGAAUACCGAAGAAUGUUAUCACGGGAGACACACGGCGGGUGCUAACGUCCGUCGUGAAGAGGGAAACAACCCAGACCGCCAGCUAAGGUCCCAAAGUCAUGGUUAAGUGGGAAACGAUGUGGGAAGGCACAGACAGCCAGGAUGUUGGCUUAGAAGCAGCCAUCAUUUAAAGAAAGCGUAAUAGCUCACUGGUCGAGUCGGCCUGCGCGGAAGAUGUAACGGGGCUAAACCAUGCACCGAAGCUGCGGCAGCGACACUAUGUGUUGUUGGGUAGGGGAGCGUUCUGUAAGCCGUUGAAGGUGUGCUGUGAGGCAUGCUGGAGGUAUCAGAAGUGCGAAUGCUGACAUAAGUAACGAUAAAGCGGGUGAAAAGCCCGCUCGCCGGAAGACCAAGGGUUCCUGUCCAACGUUAAUCGGGGCAGGGUGAGUCGACCCCUAAGGCGAGGCCGAAAGGCGUAGUCGAUGGGAAACAGGUUAAUAUUCCUGUACUUGGUGUUACUGCGAAGGGGGGACGGAGAAGGCUAUGUUAGCCGGGCGACGGUUGUCCCGGUUUAAGCAUGUAGGCGGAAGGUUUAGGUAAAUCCGGACCUUUAUUAACGCUGAGGUGUGACGACGAGGCACUACGGUGCUGAAGUAACAAAUGCCCUGCUUCCAGGAAAAGCCUCUAAGCAUCAGGUAACAUUGAAUCGUACCCCAAACCGACACAGGUGGUCAGGUAGAGAAUACCAAGGCGCUUGAGAGAACUCGGGUGAAGGAACUAGGCAAAAUGGUGCCGUAACUUCGGGAGAAGGCACGCUGAUAUGUAGGUGAAGCCCCUGCGGGUGGAGCUGAAAUCAGUCGAAGAUACCAGCUGGCUGCAACUGUUUAUUAAAACACAGCACUGUGCAAACACGAAAGUGGACGUAUACGGUGUGACGCCUGCCCGGUGCCGGAAGGUUAAUUGAUGGGGUUAGCGCAACGCGAAGCUCUUGAUCGAAGCCCCGGUAAACGGCGGCCGUAACUAUAACGGUCCUAAGGUAGCGAAAUUCCUUGUCGGGUAAGUUCCGACCUGCACGAAUGGCGUAAUGAUGGCCAGGCUGUCUCCACCCGAGACUCAGUGAAAUUGAACUCGCUGUGAAGAUGCAGUGUACCCGCGGCAAGACG